UACGUAGGUGGCAAGCGUUGUCCGGAAUUAUUGGGCGUAAAGCGCGCGCAGGCGGUCCUUUAAGUCUGAUGUGAAAGCUCACGGCUCAACCGUGGAGGGUCAUUGGAAACUGGGGGACUUGAGUGCAGAAGAGGAAAGCGGAAUUCCACGUGUAGCGGUGAAAUGCGUAGAGAUGUGGAGGAACACCAGUGGCGAAGGCGGCUUUCUGGUCUGUAACUGACGCUGAGGCGCGAAAGCGUGGGGAGCAAACAGG
rnacentral:rRNA from 1 species